GGGAGGGGGGAUCGUAACCUAUCUCAGCGGUUCGCACACUUUACACUUCAGCCAAUCACAAUCCCCAGAGAUUCGUUAAAGCACAGUUGGCUCCUGCCUUCCCCACCUCAUCCGUCCAACCUCCCCUUUCUGACUCUUUAAGUCUUCCAAGGGCCGGAGAUUUUGCGUUUCUAACAAGUUCCCAGGUGAUGCCGAGGCAGUCGUGAAGAUCAAGAGCUAGCGUUCACGUUUCAUUUCGUUCCAACCCCGGCCUCUUUUCCUCGGAAUGUUAGACUCUUACUUUUCCUCUUGAGUAUGCGCCAAGCCUAUGUGUGUAGCAGCAAAAGGUUGUCAAGGUCAGAAACAACAAAGGAAGAGUGGGGAACUGCUCCAGAUUCAGACUAAGGAGACAUGACACUCACACGCCAGGCAGAGUCAUGGAUUGGACCCUGAAGCCACUGGAAAUCCAAGUGGAUAGAUAAACAUACCGAGGUGUGGUCAAGCGGUGAAAGGCUAGUCAGCCAUAAAGACAGAAUGAAAUGCUGCUAUAUACCAUGACGUGGAUGGAUCCCAAAAACGUUAUGCUGAGUAAAAGAAGCCUGACACACCAAAAAGUACAUACUGUAUGAUCCCAUUUAUGUGAAAUUCCAGAAAGGACAAAUCUAAUCUACAGUGACAGAAAGCAGACCAGUGGUUGCCUGGAGCUGGGGCUGGAAGGAUUGACUGGGAAGCAACACAAGGGAAUGUUCUGAGGUGAAGCAAAUGUUCUGCAUCUUGAUUGUGGCAGUGGUUACUUGGUUAUAUAAACUUGUCGGGGCUCAUCAAAAUGUACAUUUGAAAUAGGUGCGCUUUGCUGGAUGACAGUCAUACCUCAAUAAAGUUGAUUCAACAGGAUAAAACAUUUAAUGAGUAGAACAUACUGUGCUACUCAAAUAUCCAACUGUGAAGAAGCCUGCAUACAGACACAGAGAGAGAAAUCAUCCCUGGGGCACCUCAGUCUGUAAAAGGUACUCACCUUCAUGACGACCCCAGGUUCUUCUGGAAGCCGCCUUAUGGGCUUGCUGUGGGGCCUGCCCUAGGGUUCGGCGUCUUAGCCAUCUCGAGGCACCAUUGUUUGUGCUGAGUUAUGGGAUGACCUGGGAAUUCUGUUUUAGCCCUCGGUUGAAGGACUUUGCCCUCUCUUCCCCGCUCUGGUCUGCUGCCUGAUUUUGUAAGCUUCCACCUCUCGUUCUCUCUCUUCCCAGAACUCCCAGGGUGUGGAGAAGCUCGUGCUGCCCAGCCAACUCCCACCUGAGGCUGAAGUCUUUUCAAUUUACAGAGAGAGGCGACGUAACUGCUUUUGCCGUCAUUGGCCCUUUCUUUUUCUUCCUCUUCCUCUCUCUACUUUGUGUGUCAAGGCCCCCAAAUCACAUCCUACUUCUAUUGGACUCUGCUAGAACCUCUCGUCUUUUCAGCUGAUAGAUAGCUCCCAUCCUGUGAAGGCUUUAGGGAAGAAUCCUUCCGUGCCCCUUCCAGCCUCCAGUGGUUGCUGGCAAUUUUUCACGUUUCUUGGCUUGUGGCUGCUUUACUCCCAUCUCUGCCUCUAUCACAUGACUCUCUUCCCUGUGUGCAUGCAUAUAUCUCUGUGUGUCCUCUCAUUUUCUUAUAAGGACAGCAGUCAUUGGCUUUAGCCCUCCCCCCCCCCCCCAUCUAGUAUGACCUCUUCUUAAUUGAUUACAUCUGCCAAGGCUAUAGUUCCAAAUAAGGCAACACUCUGAGGUUCCAGGUGGAUGUGAAUUUUGGAGGGACAUUAUUGAACCCACUGUACAUUAAAAAUCUCAUUUACUUUUCACCACAACUCUAUCAAGUCAACGUUAUUACAAUACACAUUUUAUACAUGAAGAAAUUGAAGUAUAGAGAACUUAAAUGGUUGCCCAAGGUAACAUACCAGGAAUGCCAGGAAUUCUGAUGUUAGAGCAUUUUAUCUACCCACUGUGAUACACCUCUCUUAAAACUUGAAAACAAAAGUAGGGGCACCUGGGUGGUUCAGUCCAUUAAGCGUCCGACUUCAGAUCAGGUCAUGAUCUCACGGUUCGUGAGU